rnacentral:rRNA from 1 species
GAUGAACGCUGGCGGCGUGCCUAAUACAUGCAAGUCGAGCGAACGGACGAGAAGCUUGCUUCUCUGAUGUUAGCGGCGGACGGGUGAGUAACACGUGGAUAACCUACCUAUAAGACUGGGAUAACUUCGGGAAACCGGAGAUAAUACCGGAUAAUAUUUUGAACCGCAUGGUUCAAAAGUGAAAGACGGUCUUGCUGUCACUUAUAGAUGGAUCCGCGCUGCAUUAGCUAGUUGGUAAGGUAACGGCUUACCAAGGCAACGAUGCAUAGCCGACCUGAGAGGGUGAUCGGCCACACUGGAACUGAGACACGGUCCAGACUCCUACGGGAGGCAGCAGUAGGGAAUCUUCCGCAAAGGGCGAAAGCCUGACGGAGCAACGCCGCGUGAGUGAUGAAGGUCUUCGGAUCGUAAAACUCUGUUAUUAGGGAAGAACAUAUGUGUAAGUAACUGUGCACAUCUUGACGUUACCUAAUCAGAAAGCCACGGCUAACUACGUG